GAGAGGAGCCUUAGCCCUGGGAUUCCAAGGCCUUUCCACUUGAUGAUCAGCACUGAGCACCGAGGACUCACCAUGGAAUUGGGGCUCCGCUGGGUUUUCCUUGUUGCUAUUUUAGAAGGUGUCCAGUGUGACGUGCAGCUGGUGGAGUCUGGGGGAGGCUUGGUCCAGCCUGGGGGGUCCCUGAGACUCUCCUGUGCAGCCUCUGGAUUCACCUUUAGUAGCUAUUGGAUGAGCUGGGUCCGCCAGGCUCCAGGGAAGGGGCUGGAGUGGGUUUCAUACAUUAGUAGUAGUAGUAGUUACAUAUACUACGCGGACUCAGUGAAGGGCCGAUUCACCAUCUCCAGAGACAACGCCAAGAACUCACUGUAUCUGCAAAUGAACAGCCUGAGAGCCGAGGACACGGCCGUGUAUUACUGUGCGAGAGACACAGUGAGGGGAAGUCACUCCUCACCCUCCCUUUCUCUUUUGUCCUGCGGGUCCUCAGGGAGUGCAUCCGCCCCAACCCUUUUUCCCCUCGUCUCCUGUGAGAAUUCCCCGUCGGAUACGAGCAGCGUGGCCGUUGGCUGCCUCGCACAGGACUUCCUUCCUGACUCCAUCACUUUCUCCUGGAAAUACAAGAACAACUCUGACAUCAGCAGCACCCAGGGCUUCCCAUCAGUCCUGAGAGGGGGCAAGUACGCAGCCACCUCACAGGUGCUGCUGCCUUCCAAGGAGGUCAUGCAGGGCACAGACGAACACGUGGUGUGCAAAGUCCAGCACCCCAACGGCAACAAAGAAAAGAACGUGCCUCUUCCAGUGAUUGCUGAGCUGCCUCCCAAAGUGAGCGUCUUCGUCCCACCCCGCGACGGCUUCUUCGGCAACCCCCGCAAGUCCAAGCUCAUCUGCCAGGCCACGGGUUUCAGUCCCCGGCAGAUUCAGGUGUCCUGGCUGCGCGAGGGGAAGCAGGUGGGGUCUGGUGUCACCACGGACCAGGUGCAGGCUGAGGCCAAAGAGUCUGGGCCCACGACCUACAAGGUGACUAGCACACUGACCAUCAAAGAGAGCGACUGGCUCAGCCAGAGCAUGUUCACCUGCCGCGUGGAUCACAGGGGCCUGACCUUCCAGCAGAAUGCGUCCUCCAUGUGUAGCCCCGAUCAAGACACAGCCAUCCGGGUCUUCGCCAUCCCCCCAUCCUUUGCCAGCAUCUUCCUCACCAAGUCCACCAAGUUGACCUGCCUGGUCACAGACCUGACCACCUAUGACAGCGUGACCAUCUCCUGGACCCGCCAGAAUGGCGAAGCUGUGAAAACCCACACCAACAUCUCCGAGAGCCACCCCAAUACCACCUUCAGCGCCGUGGGUGAGGCCAGCAUCUGCGAGGAUGACUGGAAUUCCGGGGAGAGGUUCACGUGCACCGUGACCCACACAGACCUGCCCUCGCCACUGAAGCAGACCAUCUCCCGGCCCAAGGGGGUGGCCCUGCACAGGCCCGAUGUCUACUUGCUGCCACCAGCCCGGGAGCAGCUGAACCUGCGGGAGUUGGCCACCAUCACGUGCCUGGUGACAGGCUUCUCUCCCGCGGACGUCUUCGUGCAGUGGAUGCAGAGGGGGCAGCCCUUGUCCCCGGAGAAGUAUGUGACCAGCGCCCCAAUGCCUGAGCCCCGGGCCCCAGGCCGGUACUUCGCCCACAGCAUCCUGACCGUGUCCGAAGAGGAAUGGAACACGGGGGAGACCUACACCUGCGUGGUGGCCCAUGAGGCCCUGCCCAACAGGGUCACCGAGAGGACCGUGGACAAGUCCACCGGUAAACCCACCCUGUACAACGUGUCCCUGGUCAUGUCCGACACAGCUGGCACCUGCUACUGACCCUGCUGGCCUGCCCACAGGCUCGGGGCGGCUGGCCGCUCUGUGUGUGCAUGCAAACUAACCGUGUCAAUGGGGUGAGAUGUUGCAUCUUAUAAAAUUAGAAAUAAAAAGAUCCAUUCAAAAGAUACUGGUCCUGA